GUGCUAACUUCGGCAGCACAUAUACUAAAAUUGUAACGAUUUUAAAUUCUGAUUAGCAUGGCCCCUGAGCAAGGAUGACAUGCAAAUUCAUAAAGCAUUCCAAAUUUUG